AGACCCGAAACCCGGUGAUCUAGCCAUGGGCAGGUUGAAGGUUGGGUAACACUAACUGGAGGACCGAACCGACUAAUGUUGAAAAAUUAGCGGAUGACCUGUGGCUGGGGGUGAAAGGCCAAUCAAACCGGGAGAUAGCUGGUUCUCCCCGAAAGCUAUUUAGGUAGCGCCUCGUGAAUUCAUCUCCGGGGGUAGAGCACUGUUUCGGCUAGGGGGCCAUCCCGGCUUACCAACCCGAUGCAAACUGCGAAUACCGGAGAAUGUUAUCACGGGAGACACACGGCGGGUGCUAACGUCCGUCGUGAAGAGGGAAACAACCCAGACCGCCAGCUAAGGUCCCAAAGUCAUGGUUAAGUGGGAAACGAUGUGGGAAGGCCCAGACAGCCAGGAUGUUGGCUUAGAAGCAGCCAUCAUUUAAAGAAAGCGUAAUAGCUCACUGGUCGAGUCGGCCUGCGCGGAAGAUGUAACGGGGCUAAACCAUGCACCGAAGCUGCGGCAGCGACGCUUAUGCGUUGUUGGGUAGGGGAGCGUUCUGUAAGCCUGUGAAGGUGUGUCGUGAGGCAUGCUGGAGGUAUCAGAAGUGCGAAUGCUGACAUAAGUAACGAUAAAGCGGGUGAAAAGCCCGCUC
rnacentral:rRNA from 1 species